AAGCCCAUGGACAGAGCUGCCUGGCAGGCUACAGUCCGUGGGGUCACAAAGAGUCGGACACGACUGAACAACAGCUGCCGGGGAGUCAUGGCAAGGUAGUGGUGUGAGACAUUUUGGGUCAUCGUGUGCAGUCAGACGGCCAGACUCAGGAGUUCCGCUCUGCCACCUCCCGCAGCCAGCUAGGAGACCUUCUCGGCCUCCUUCUGGGCGACUGGGACAGCUGCCGCAGCUGCUCCACAAGGCCGGGGACUGACCUGGCUGAUGCAGGAUGGAAGGUCUCAGCAAAUCUCCAUCCUACUGCAGACUGAGACGGGUUAAAAAUACCACCCAGCAUAAUGUGACGGUAUCGUAGCGAAUAACUGGCAAGACCCCCCAGGCUGGCAUCCCCCCUGCCCUGUGGCCGAGCAGCCGUGUGGAGGCCACGAGUGCCUUGACGACACCCGCAUCUCGUGCACAUGUGACUGGGAGCCGGGUGGAGGCAGCACGCUGUGUAGACAGUGUCUCACAGCGAGUACUUUCACCUCUGCUUUCCUCAGAGAAAUAAAACACAGAGUGGUCCUGACGUUCAGAAUGAUGUUCAGGAUCUUAGCAGAAGAUCUUCAGAUCUUCAGAUCUUCACGAAAGCAGGUCAUGAAGCAAGUCAUGAAACCCAUCUAACCUUGGGGUCUAAUUUGAAGGGAUUUUAGUGAUGUCUCCGUCUAACCCUGGGCUGGAUCCUAUCAGAGUCAGAUAAGGUAACAGUGCAACAGAAAUGUAACCAUGUAAAGCGGUGUGAUACAAUAUGAUGCAAUGUAAUUAUCUUAGCUCAACUGCCAGUACAACAAGAUGCAGGCCGGGUCGCAGUGUUCUAAGUCAGGAGAAGACAGGCAGUGCUCCGAAGCCCGGUCCAGGCCCCCAGCAGCCCCUCUGCUCACACCUGCCAGCAAAGACGCUGGCGUCCCAGAGCUUCAGUUCAGGAGCGGCCCCGGUCGUCCGCCCCUGUGCCCCUGGACACGGGGGUGCCCGGGUCCCCCCCUGCUCUCCAGCCUCUGUGAAACCUGUAGGCUCGUGGCCUUUGUUUCGCCUGGAACCUGAGGGCUUCUACCUGCAGAGACCUGGAACCGAGUCUCCGCCAGCCGACCCCAGUCACCAAAGGAGGGAGCAUGGAGGCCUUGGUGAGCUGGACAGGGAGCCCCUGCAGCCUCUACCCUCCCUAACACUUCUGAAAAUGGGCCAUGAAAAGUGUGACAAAGGAGAACUAUUUUUCUUAAACAUUACCAGCAUCACCGCUUCGAGGCACAAAGUAAGGAAACCCCCACGUCUUGAACAGAAGCUGUGAUGGUUUUGUCAGCGUGGCUAGGCAUCCCUCUCGUUGCAGUUACUGUAUUUUUGGUGAAUGUGUUCUGCAGACGUGGUUAAUGGCUAGAGUUGGCUGCCAAUGAAGUCUACGCGACCUUGGCUUUGGAUGUUGACCUUGCAUCCCCUGACCUAGCUGCUCUGACGGAACCUUCAGGAUGGUGUUGAAUAGUGGCAUUGAGAGGCUCACCCCUGCCUCCUUCCUGACCCCGUGGGGCAGCGUUCAGUCGUCCACUGUUAAGUGUGAUGGCACUUGGAGACGUGUCAUUGGUGCUGUUUAUAAGUUUGAAGACUGUCAUCCCUUCCUCUCCUAGUUUGCUGAAACCAUUUACCAGGACCAAGUUCCUGCGGACCCAGCGACUUCUCCUUAGACAUGUGGCUGCGUCCAGCAGGGAAGCCAUCUGGGCCCGGGGCUCCCUGUUGGGAAGACGUCUGGAAACAGCUGCUCGUUCCUUGUGAGGCCGACUCCCCUGAAGGUGGGGGUGAUUCUGCAUUCCAGAGCCACAGCCCAGGACCAGGAAGGGUUGCCGUGAGCUCCCACCCCCCAGCGGGAGGAAGACGUCGCCUCAGGGAGACAGCCCCCCUCCCCCGCCAGAGGCCUCACCUCCCCCCGCCUCCCUGGUGCUGGGGUGCCGGGCCCUGGAGACCCCCUUGAGGCCCCCCAGGUGCUGCCCUCAGUCUCCUGCUCCCAGUCGAUGGCCGCACCCACCCCCGCCUUCCACAACCAGACGCCCUUUGGUCUGUUUUCUGUUUGCAGCACCCCCUGCCCUCCUGCACUCCCAUCAUCCCAGCAACAGGUUCCUGAAGUUCGGAUGCUUCCUGCACCCAUAGCCACCCCUCCCUCCCCUUCCAGAGCAGCUGCCGGGCUUGGAGACACAUGGCUUGAUUUACUGAGUAAUUGGUAUGAUAGGAUCCCCACCAUCAAGGUUUUCAAGACUAUGUCUGGGAGUCCCAUGUGCCCUCGCGAUAACCGCAGCUGCUCCGGGCUCAGACACCACGGAGGGCAGGUGUCCGACAUCCGCGGCUCCCUGUCCUCAGCGAUCCUCACAGCGGUGCUCCCACUGUUGUGAGCACAGAGACAGAACCUCAGGAAUCAUGUGGUUUUGUCACAGGCGCACAACUGAGGCGUCAGGAUGUGAGCCUGGGCCUGUUUUGUUAAAGUCUGCUUUCAACACCCUACACCCAUCUGCCCAUCUCCCUACAUCCGGGAAAAUUCUAGAAAUUCGGAGAGAGACUUGCUGUCUCUGCACCGGGAACUGCUGAAGGCUCUCAAGCACUUUAUCAGAGCGGGGCUGACGUGGUGGGUGAGCAGGUCUGGGUGUCGGCUCUCUCCCCGCUGCAGUUCUUAGCGUUGACUAAGUAUGAGAAUCUGGCUCCUGCCUUCGGUAAGACACCUAAUUUCAGGUUCACGUGGAAAACUCAAGGGCAGGUGCCGAGGAAGCCAGGAGAGAGUCCAGCCAGCGGUGAAGUGCGGCAACUUGCUCUGGGACAAGCCCUCAAUCAGCUGAAAGGCCUCGACAUUGAUGCUCUGGCCUCACAGUGGCCCUGGGCCUGAUGGCCGCCCUGAGCUUCCAGAGUGAAAGGAAUUGGGUCGUGCCCACGCUCGUCAGCCGCUCAGGUCGUGCGUCAACCGCAGCUCCUGCUUCCCAGCCUUUCUCGUCACCACGCCGCCGGGACCCUCCCGGGGGCAGCAGAGCCACACAGGGCCCCAAGGGUCCCACUGUGCCUCUGCCCGGCCCUGGCGUCAUGGAGAGGGCACAGCAGGCAGCAGACAUCGGCCGUUAUGUUGAAAAGCUGCCUCAUCCGCAGUGCUUGUUUGGGGCUAAGACAGAGAGCCACCCAGAGCCUUCCAAAGCCUCCGCCACCUUUAGCUGAAUGGGAGGCCUUCACCUGCCAAACAGAGGCCAGAAAGAAACCCACGACCAGAGAGGCACGGGUGGGCUCAGCCGGAGCCAUCCACGUAGAGAAGGUCUCUGCAGCAGAGACAGUGUCUUGAUGGACUCUCCCUCUGAUGACAAACCAGCGCCUCCUGCUUGGAAGCUGUCAAGCCCUUCAGUGUAAAGACUUCAGAGGCACCAACCACUCAGGUGCCAGGAGACAAGAAAGCUGGGAUUCCCAGGAGGGGAAAGAGAGAAGGGGUGACUCCCUGGGCUUUGGGGAACGUUUGAAAGCUAAAAGCAGGGUUCUGUUUUGCCGCUGAGAUGCAAGCGUGUCAGAAGCUCCUGUCCUCCUGCGUCGCCGCCCUGAGGCUCAACGGCGUCUCACGCUGAAACCCACUCCCCGGAGGACACAGGACGUCCUCCAUCACCGAGGCCUGGAGGGCAGGUGGCUGCUCGUGUGGGUCAAUUGCAUUUCUCUUUUCAGAACUUCCACGGCCACAGCGUGGCCCAAGGAGACCCUGGCCCACUGUCACCCCGUCGCCCGGGGCCUUUGCCCCCUUGGCCACGGCCCCCGUCCCUCGCCGACCCGAGAAGGGCAGCCAGCUCCCUCUGAAUUAAAACUGUAAUGCAUCUGUCCCAUUUACACAAAGCCUUGGCUUUGACACAUGCAAUUACUAUGAACACAGAGGCAACAUGAUUGCUAAGGGCUCCAGAAAGAGAGUUUAAUCAGCAGACGUGGGUUUCUCCGGGCCGAUUUAUAAUUUCACUCCUUGCUAUUCCUUUAUGUUCUUAUGUGUUCAGAUAAUUAGAUACACUAGUUCUUGCUUCCCGAGAGGCCAGAAAGGGCAAAAUUCCUAUUCUUUUUACAUUAGAAAGAUUAAAUUAUAAUAUAGAAAAUCUGUAACUUUGGGUAGAAAUGACAAAUUCACACUACAUUAAUUUCAGUGCUUACAAAAUGUUACAAAUAAUUUGUGCGUCCUCUCCUCUCUUGUAGGUGCAUGUGAAUUAAUUACCUAUCCAAUUUCAAUGUCUUUCAAGUCAGCUUUCCACAGACAACUCUGAAAUUAAAAGAAAAUAAGGUUUGAUUUCCAUUUGCCAAGUAUAUUUGUUUGAGAUGUUUAACCAUUUAAGCCCAUGUACACGUCCCUGAGAACAUGGACACAAACAAAUGUGCCCACUUACAAUGCAGACUCUGUGGGAAGCCGCAGAGUUCCAGGGCUGGUAACUAGGAAGGGAAGGACAAACCUCCGUCCCACGCCGCCAGCAGGAGGGACUCACCCAACACCCAAAGUAGCGGUGUGGGCACCCUGGUCAGUGCUCAGUGACGCCAGAAAGAGGCGUCUCCCCAGG